CCUACGGGAGGCAGCAGUGAGGAAUAUUGGUCAAUGGACGAGAGUCUGAACCAGCCAAGUAGCGUGAAGGAUGACUGCCCUAUGGGUUGUAAACUUCUUUUAUAUGGGAAUAAAAUGUUCCACGUGUGGGAUUUUGUAUGUACCAUAUGAAUAAAGAUCGGCUAACUCCGUGCCAGCAGCCGCGGUAAUACGGAGGAUCCGAGCGUUAUCCGGAUUUAUUGGGUUUAAAGGGAGCGUAGGUGGAUUGUUAAGUCAGUUGUGAAAGUUUGCGGCUCAACCGUAAAAUUGCAGUUGAAACUGGCAGUCUUGAGUACAGGAGAGGUGGGCGGAAUUCGUGGUGUAGCGGUGAAAUGCUUAGAUAUCACGAAGAACUCCGAUUGCGAAGGCAGUUCACUGGACUGCAACUGACACUGAGGCUCGAAAGUGUGGGUAUCAAACAGGAUUAGAUACCCCAGUAGUC
rnacentral:rRNA from 1 species